rnacentral:rRNA from 1 species
AGAAUCAACGCUGGCGGCGUGCCUAACACAUGCAAGUCGAACGAGAAAGUGGAGCAAUCCAUGAGUAAAGUGGCGCACGGGUGAGUAACACGUGACUAACCUACCCUUGAGUGGGGAUAGCCUCGGGAAACCGGGCUAAUACCGCACAACAUCGAGAGAUCAAAGGAGCAAUUCGCUUAAGGAGGGGUCGCGGCUGAUUAGCUAGUUGGUGAGGUAAUGGCUCACCAAGGCUAUGAUCAGUA